rnacentral:lncRNA from 1 species
UUCUUUGUUACCGUUCUUUUGCAUUCGCCUUUCUCGCUCUUACAACCGAGUCAACCGCAUCUCGCGAAACAGGAACAACUUUAUUCCCGUCUCUUUGUUUUUUUUUGUUUAACAGUGACAACUUUAUUCCAAACUUGACCGUCACUUCUCAGCUUUCACAAUUACAAUUGCUACAGUGGCUCAAUUAUUCAACUCCCUCUCUCUCUCUUAACCCUCUGAUUGCGGGUUUUCGUUUUGGGCCAUCGAGGAAAAAGGAUAAUGAGCUGUUGAAUUUUGUGGUAUUGAUAUUUUUUGGAUUUGAAAUUGGGGUUUUUAAGGCAAUGGAGAAGACAACGUUUGUAGGUUGUUAAGGUUUUCCAGUAUUUAGAGCCCUGGGGAUCAAGAAUUGGGUUUUCCUUUUUGGGGAAGAAAACAUCAUUGGCUUCUUGAAAUUUACGAGCUCUGAGAGUAGGCUGAAAUACUGAUAGUCACAGGGGAAUAAAAGAUUAGUUCUUGAGAUUUUAUACAAUAUUUUUGGAUUUUUGAAUAGCAUGGAUAACGGUAGUUGGAUGCCUGCUCAAGGCAAGGGUGAUCUAGUUCUAACGGAUGCUAACGAUUGGAGGACAGAGCUUUCAGCUGAUUCUAGGCAGAGGAUUGUGAAUAAGAUGUGAGCUCUGUCUCUCUCUCUCUAUCUCUCUCUCUCUAUCUCUCUCUCUAUAUAUAUAUAUAUAUAUUGAUUGGUAGGUAUAUUUCUUUUUUUCAUUGUUUAUUUCUGUAGUCUACUGCAUUCCCAAUUUGAUAUUGCCUGUCUUUGUGUGCUGUUUUUUGUUGAAACAUAUUUCUUCCUUUGGUAUGGGAAUGUUUAGAAUUCCAAGGAUAUUAGAGAAACAGUAGGAUAAUACAACUUACCCUUGUUGAGAUGGACUUAAGGAAAAUUGUUUCAUGCAGACUGAACUGCAUUUCUACAUAUGCGGUCUAGA